rnacentral:rRNA from 1 species
CAAUUGAAGAGUUUGAUCCUGGCUCAGCGCGUACGCUGGCGGCAUGGCUAAAACAUGCAAGUCGAACGCGAACGUGGUGCUUGCACCAUUAGUAGAGUGGCGAAAGGGCGAGGAAUGCGUUUCUAACGUGCCCCAAGGUCGGGGAUAGCUCGGGGAAACCCGGGGUAAUACCUGAUGAUCUCCAGCCGCUGCAUGGUGGCUGGAGCAAAGGCUUGCUGCCUUGGGAUCGGGGAACGUGGUAUCAGCUUGUUGGUGAGGUAAUGGCUCACCAAGGCUAAGACGCCUAGCGGGUGUGAGAGCACGACCCGCCGCAUCGGGACUGAGACACUGCCCGGACUCCUACGGGAGGCUGCAGUAACGAAUAUUCCGCAAUGGGCGAAAGCCUGACGGAGCAAUGCCGCGUGCAGGACGAAGCCCCUCGGGGUGUAAACUGCUGUCAGAGGCCACCAACACAAUGAGGAACCUCAGAGGAAGGACCGGCUAAGUUCGUGCCAGCAGCCGCGGUAAUACGAACGGUCCAAGCGUAGCGCGGAUUCACUGGGCUUAAAGCGUGCGUAGGCGGACCUGCAAGUACUUUGUGAAAUCCCACGGCUCAACCGUGGAAUUGCUCGGUAGACUGCAGGUCUUGAGAUCGGUAGAGGUUGCCGGAACGCUAGGUGGAGCGGUGAAAUGCGUAGAUAUCUAGCGGAACGCCCAAGGCGAAGGCAGGCAACUGGGCCGAAUCUGACGCUCAGGCACGAAAGCGUGGGGAGCGAACGGGAUUAGAUACCCCGGUAGUCCACGCCGUAAACGAUGUGCACUAGAUCCUGGAGAUGCUGACAUCAUCGGGAUCGCAGCGAAAGCGUUAAGUGCACCGCCUGGGGAGUACGGUCGCAAGACUAAAACUCAAAGGAAUUGACGGGGGCUCACACAAGCGGUGGAGCAUGUGGUUUAAUUCGAGGCAACGCGAAGAACCUUAUCCAGGGUUUGACAUGUACGGAUGCCCUCGGUGAAAGCUGAGUAAGCUGCGCUUUGCGUGAAACGUACACAGGUGCUGCAUGGCUGUCGUCAGCUCGUGCUGUGAAGUGUCGGGUUAAGUCCCUCAACGAGCGAAACCCCUAUCGUUAGUUGCUACCAGGUAAUGCUGAGGACUCUAACGAGACUGCCGGCGUCAAGCCGGAGGAAGGUGGGGACGACGUCAAGUCCUCAUGGCCUUUAUGCCCUGGGCUACACACGUGCUACAAUGCCGGCUACAGAGCGAAGCAAUACCGCAAGGUGGAGCAAAUCGCACAAAGGUCGGCCCAGUUCGGAUUGGGGUCUGCAACUCGACCCCAUGAAGGUGGAAUCGCUAGUAAUCGCGUAUCAGCUACGACGCGGUGAAUAUGUUCCUGAGCCUUGUACACACCGCCCGUCAAGUCAUGGAAGCCGGGAGUACCCGAAGUGGUGCCGAUUCAGGCAUCCCUACGGUAAGCUCGGUGACUAGGACUAAGUCGUAACAAGGUAGCCGUAGGGGAACCUGCGGCUGGAUCACCUCCUUU